rnacentral:rRNA from 1 species
UACGAAGGGGGCUAGCGUUGUUCGGAAUUACUGGGCGUAAAGCGCACGUAGGCGGAUUAGUAAGUCAGGGGUGAAAUCCCGGGGCUCAACCUCGGAACUGCCUUUGAUACUGCUGAUCUCGAGUCCGGAAGAGGUGAGUGGAAUUCCUAGUGUAGAGGUGAAAUUCGUAGAUAUUAGGAAGAACACCAGUGGCGAAGGCGGCUCACUGGUCCGGUACUGACGCUGAGGUGCGAAAGCUAGGGGAGCGAAAGGG